rnacentral:rRNA from 1 species
UAAGGAAUAUUGGUCAAUGGACGCAAGUCUGAACCAGCCAUGCCGCGUGGAGGAUGAAGGUCCUCUGGAUUGUAAACUUCUUUUAUUUGGGACGAAAAAGGGGAAUUCUUUCCCCCCUGACGGUACCAGAUGAAUAAGCACCGGCUAACUCCGUGCCAGCAGCCGCGGUAAUACGGAGGGUGCAAGCGUUAUCCGGAUUCACUGGGUUUAAAGGGUGCGUAGGCGGGUAGGUAAGUCCGUGGUGAAAUCUUCCGACUUAAUCGGGAAACUGCCAUGGAUACUCUCUAUCUUGAAUGUCGUGGAGGUUAGCGGAAUAUGUCAUGUAGCGGUGAAAUGCUUAGAUAUGACAUAGAACACCCAUUGCGAAGGCAGCUAACUACGCGAUAAUUGACGCUGAUGCACGAAAGCGUGGGGAUCAAACAG